UACGAAGGGGGCUAGCGUUGUUCGGAUUUAUUGGGCGUAAAGCGCACGUAGGCGGAUCGUUAAGUCAGGGGUGAAAUCCUGGAGCUCAACUCCAGAACUGCCUUUGAUACUGGCGAUCUUGAGUCCGGAAGAGGUGAGUGGAACUCCUAGUGUAGAGGUGGAAUUCGUAGAUAUUAGGAAGAACACCAGUGGCGAAGGCGGCUCACUGGUCCGGUACUGACGCUGAGGUGCGAAAGCGUGGGGAGCAAACAGG
rnacentral:rRNA from 1 species